rnacentral:rRNA from 1 species
ACUCCUACGGGAGGCAGCAGUGGGGAAUAUUGCACAAUGGGCGAAAGCCUGAUGCAGCAACGCCGCGUGAGCGAUGAAGGCCUUCGGGUCGUAAAGCUCUGUCCUAUGGGAAGAGUAAUGACGGUACCAUAGGAGGAAGCCCCGGCUAACUACGUGCCAGCAGCCGCGGUAAUACGUAGGGGGCAAGCGUUAUCCGGAAUUACUGGGCGUAAAGGGUGCGUAGGCGGUUUAUC